AGGGAAGAUGAAGAAUGCGGUCCCCAAUCUCAGGACCCGCUCCAGAACCUAAUCCAUCAGUCAAGACUGGACAUUUAUAACUUUAAAACAUACUCUGUGAAAUGGACUUCCCUGAUGGUCCAGUGAUGAAGAAUCCGCCUGCCAAUGCAGGGGAUACAGGUUCGAUCCUCAGUCCAGGAAGAUCUCACAUGCCUUUGGGCAAAUAAGCCUGUGUGCCACAACUACGGAGCUAGAUUUCGUGAGCUAGAGCCCAUGAGCUGCAGCUACUGAACCAUGCGCCUACAGCCCAUGCUCUGCAACGAGAAGCCCCCGCAAUGAGAAGCCUGCGCACUGCAGCUAGAGAGUAGCCCCUGCUCGCUACAAUUAGAGAAAGCCUGCAGUAAUGAAGACCCAGUGCAGCCAUAAAUAAAUUUUCUAAAAAAUCUCUUAAAAAUGUUUUAAAAUAUACUCUGUGAAAUGAUACAAAAUCUGGUAUUUGUUUUAAAAUAACUUAGCUUAGGGUGGAGGGGGCGGAGGGGAGUACAUAGACGAAGACUGGCUGGGUAUUCACUGUACACCCGUGGGUUCCCUCUGUUACUGUUACUUCAGUGGAGAGUUGAAAUUUCUCAUAAUAAAAAGCUUUUUCAUUUUUUCCUAAAAUCGA